rnacentral:rRNA from 1 species
CACGUAGUUAGCCGGUGCUUCUUCUCCAUCUACCGUCAGAAACCCUUCGUCGAUGGUGAAAGGAGUUUACAACCCGAAGGCCGUCAUCCCCCACGCGGCGUCGCUGCAUCAGGCUUCCGCCCAUUGUGCAAUAUUCCCCACUGCUGCCUCCCGUAGGAGUCUGGGCCGUGUCUCAGUCCCAAUGUGGCCGUCCACCCUCUCAGGCCGGCUACCCGUCGCCGCCUUGGUAGGCCAUUACCCCACCAACAAGCUGAUAGGCCGCGGGCCCAUCCCACACCGAAAAAACUUUCCACCACAGCAUCCACACCAUGGUCCUAUCCGGUAUUAGACCCAGUUUCCCAGGCUUAUCCCGAAGUGCAGGGCAGGUCACCCACGUGUUACUCACCCGUUCGCCACUCGUGUACCCCAGCAAGCUGGAGCCUUACCGUUCGACUUGCAUGUGUUAAGCACGCCGCCAGCGUUCGUCCUGAGCCAGGAUCAAACUCU